GCCUUCGUGGUGUAAUGGUCUGCAUGCCCGACGAGUAACCGAGAGGUCCGUGGUUCGAUUCCCGGUGAAGGCG
rfam:Stegodyphus mimosarum contig43986, whole genome shotgun sequence.